UACGGAGGGUGCAAGCGUUAUCCGGAUUUACUGGGUUUAAAGGGUGCGUAGGUGGGCAGUUAAGUCAGCGGUGAAAUCUCUGGGCUUAACCCAGAAACUGCCAUUGAUACUAUCUGUCUUGAAUAUCCUGGAGGUGAGCGGAAUAUGUCAUGUAGCGGUGAAAUGCUUAGAUAUGACAUAGAACACCAAUUGCGAAGGCAGCUCACUAAGGGGUUAUUGACACUGAGGCACGAAAGCGUGGGGAUCAAACAGG
rnacentral:rRNA from 1 species